rnacentral:rRNA from 1 species
GGCGGCUUAGGCUGUCGCAGAUGGAUGAGCCUGCGUUGGAUUAGCUAGUUGGUGAGGUAAUGGCCUACCAAGGCUACGAUCCAUAGCUGAUUUGAGAGAAUGAUCAGCCACAUUGGGACUGAGACACGGCCCAAACUCCUACGGGAGGCAGCAGUGAGGAAUAUUGGACCAAUGGGGGAAACCCCUGAUCCAGCAAUGUCCAUGUGUGUGAAGAAGGCCUUAGGGUUGUAAAGCACUUUAGUUGGGGAAGAAAGCUUUAAGGUUAAUAAACCUUGAGGAAGGACGUUACCCUAAAGAAUUAAGCACCGGCGUAACUCCGGUGCC